CACAAAGCAGAGGAAAGGUGUUAAACUGAUUCAUCAAGAGAUAUUUCACAUAAAGAUGCAUGGAAACACAAAAGACACAAUACACUCUAAUGUACUUUGUGGAGAGCUCCAUGAAAAUGCAUUUUGUGCGAGUGCUAUGAUAUCGUGUAUUUGCUUGAAAUGACUGGUUGCGUGAUUUACUGAAAGAUUCAUUGAUUGAUUCAUUUCUUGAAAAAUUAAUUGUUUGAUUAAUUCAUGCUAAAACACCAGAGACAUAGCAAAGGCAGACCUGACAGACAAAAGAAUCUGUGUAUCUUUACCUCAGUUGUUUGAUCCUCUCCAUCACCCAGUCUUUGGUAGGGUCAGCGCACACCUUUCUGCCUUUCAAGACCACGCUUCCAGAAGAUGGCUACUCACAUGACUGCAUUGAUGUGGCACUGGCCACGGUUGUUUUGAAUGGAGAAGCCCUUGACCAAUUUCUCUGAGGUCUUCGAGAGAGAGCAAGAGGAGUCUGAGUGCGCGUCCUGGGUCUCAGCACGGCAGCUAUAUAUCUACAGUGGAUGGAAACUUCAUCGCUUGCGAGCAAUCGUGGGUUUUCCAACAGAGCGCGAAAGGAACUU